UGUCAUUCCUUAAUGGCUGCAGACAUCAGAAGCAAGAUCAGAGCAACUACCAAAACACAUUGAAAUGAAGAUAAUCAAGAAGAAAGGAUGCAUGACACAGAUGGUGCACAAAAACCAUCAACUGCUGCAAGUGUUCACUGACCACCUGCACAGUGCUGAGUGGUGCUUUCGGGUCUGUGAGAAAAGCACCGAGUUGAAGGAACACAUCUCUGCUAAAGACAGUCAAACCAUCACCACAGCUUCCGGACAAAGCAAGUUAGUGUGAACACAGAACAAGAGGAAGUACAAAAGUAAGUGAUUACAUAUGCACACAUGCCUGCAGGCAGGCUCUCACGAGGAAACAGAUUUUCAUUUACAAAACUUCAAAUCAAGAUACAAAUUGUUCUAUUACGUAACAUCAAGUAUAAGGGACCUGCCAAUUCUGACUCCAAGUGAGGUUUUGAGAAGUCAUGAAAGUUCUCCUACCUUCCAUUCAUUUUCAGAGCCUGGAGCACAUAGCUACUACACAUGGGGCUGGAGACUUGGAGGGUGGGGUGGGGGAAAGACUGUUACAGAUUUCCUAGUUACCUGCUAAGAUUUUUUUCCAUCUGAAUCAUUGUUUCUAGGCCACAUCAAUAAACCAUUCUGACAAACUGCAAUCCACAGAAGCCUAUUUUUCUCCAAAGUCAAAUCAUGUAUUCCCAGCUUAGCAACUUCAAGAGAGCAUUACCACAAACUGCUGGGCAAAUCCACUGACUGGCAGCGGCCUGAAGUGACAGGUUAUGCUCCCACACAGCCGCACUUUGCUUCUGCCUGCUGAGUCUCUCCGCUUCUUCUGCACCAUUUGGACACUUCUUUGAACAGUCAUCUGAGCUGAUCCAUCCCAAAAGCCAAGAAACAAAACCUUUCCUCUGAAUUUGUGAGGUAAAUCAGGUAACUCGUUUCAGGAGGAGUCAGACAGAGAAGAAAGCUGGGUUCAGGAAAUGGAAACAAGUCAUCUCACCAACAGAAGGCAGUCACAACAGCUAACCCUGGACACCACCUGGACACUUGGAGAGCUAUCAGCAUAUUCUUUGUUCUGGCCUGGUCAGAAGAUCCCUAGAACAUUAUUUGAAAUCUCACUUUUUUCUUUUUUUUUAAAAAUAAACCGUCCAUUAAACUCUCUUUAGAUGUCGCCAGCUUGACAAGCACUAGUGAAGUUGGGUGAACUGUAAAAGCCUCAAAUCUGCAACAAAUUUGCUUGAACUCUUAGUCUGAUUUGUUCAAUUGUGGAAGUUUAAGAAAUUUUCACAACUUUCUUAUCAUAGUUAAUAAUACUGAUCAUAACUGAUCAUAGUCUUUUCUACAGUUACAUCAAAGAAAGAACGAUGUCAUAAUAUUCUUGGUUUCCAAGUUCACACCUGGAUUCAUGUUUCAGUGAAGGUCACUUCAUUCUUUAAGCAUUCUUCUCAAAAUGAAGAGAGUUACCUUUCUGCUAACUUAUAUUUCAAUAAAAAUAGCGUGUCCUCAAACAUAACUAUUACAGUACGUACUUGCCCAGACCUUCAAAACCAUAAGAAUCUGAACCACUGGAUCUGGGACAUCCCAGAGCACACAAUACUUUCCACCCACAAUAGCUUAGUUGCUUAUAACUCUUGACAAACUUCAUGGAGUAGGGCCAGUGCCCAGCCUCUGAGGAAGACCAGUUUACCUCUGAGAAAUACAUGUAAUAUCUGCAAAACAGAUGGAAAGAGCCCAGAAAUACUGCCAGAGAAAUACGGGAUUUUGUACAUAAGACAGAGGGUACAUAAUGAACCUACCAAAGAAUUUCUCUUUUUAGAGAUGAGAGGCAAAGAGGAGAAGGGAGAUAAAUAGGUGUACGGAGAAACAAAAGGUGAAACAGGUAUCUGAUUGACCCAUUUUGUUAGUGAUCACUGAAAAGUGAAGGACCUGACCUCUCUUUUGCAAAGUUUCCUCUUCUCAGCUGACAAAGACUUAUCAACAGAAGAGCAGCUUUCAAUUGUGAAGGCAACAUCACAAAG